rnacentral:rRNA from 1 species
UACGUAGGGUGCGAGCGUUAAUCGGAAUUACUGGGCGUAAAGCGUGCGCAGGCGGUUUUGUAAGCCAGAUGUGAAAGCCCCGGGCUUAACCUGGGAAUGGCAUUUGGGACUGCAAGGCUGGAGUGUGGCAGAGGAGACUGGAAUUCCUGGUGUAGCAGUGAAAUGCGUAGAUAUCUGGAGGAACACCGGUGGCGAAGGCGGCAUCCUGGACCGAGAUUGACGCUGAGGCGCGAAAGCCAGGGGAGCAAACGGG